AAGGUGUUUAAAGCAAACAUAUAGGAGUGUACAAGAAGUACUCUUUAAUCUCUCACACGUAGUGUUUCUCUUCCCUCCGUGGUGAAAAUUUACAGCCUUUAGAAAAAGUCUAAUGCACAGCCACAUGCACAGCACCUAGAUUUAAAAAGAAAAUUUUAAUGUUUAUUUAGUUUUGAGAGAGAAACAGAGACAGAGUGUGAGCUGGGGAGGGGCGGAGAGAGAGAGACACAGAAUCCGAAGCAGGCUCCAGGCUCUGAGCUCUCGAACUCACAGACCAUGAGAUCAUGACCUGAGCCGCCCAGGCGCCCUCCUCCAAACGUUUUACAACCAAAGACCUGGUCCAGGGCCACGUGUUUAUGUGUGUAAAUCUUUUUUUUUUUUUAAUUUUUAAUUUACAUCCGAGUUAGUUAACAUAUAGUGUAAUAAUGGUUUCAGGAAUAGAAUUUAGUGACUGAUCACUUACCGAGAACACCCAGCGCUCAUCCCAACAAGUGUCCUCCUUAGUGCCCCUCGCCCAUUUGGUCCACCCCCCAACCCAAUAAAUCUUUUAAUCUGCGACAGCCCCCUUUUUCCCACACCUUUAACUCGGUGACAGGCUGGGACCCACCACCCUGCGACAGGUCCUGCAGGUAAAGGAGGCCGGGGUCACACGGCGUAGACCGACCGGCUCUGGUGGGAGGAGGGACGUCUGGGCUGAGGCCCAAGAGGCGCCCAGGAGGCCCCUGGGGAGAUGCCCGCUGGAGCGACCGCGCUCGGGGGAGGAGCCGGGCCCGUGUGGGCGGGCCCGGGGGCGGGCCCAGUGCUUCGGGGGCGUGUCCAGUGGUGGGCGAGCCUGGCGUGGGCGGGGCCGGAGAGGGGACCCGCUGCCGGGGAGUCCCGAAGGGCCGCCGCACGGGCCAGCUCACCACGGAGCAGAGUGGACACGUCAGGCACACACGUCGGGCUGCACGGCCGCCUGACUCCCUGAAUCACCUGCCGGCUGGUCAGCCCGACCCGAUUCGGGGCUCUGACCCCAAAAAGGCAGGAGGCGCGUGCCCACGGGGUGCCCAGCACCCAGGAAGCUGGAAGCAUUCCAGUAGAUUAUGGCCCCAUUUUACAGAGAAGAAACCAAUUAAAAAGGAUGAAAGUAAGUCGCCCAAGGCCCCACACCUGGUUACGGAAAGGGAGGGAGGGUUGGUGCCUGCCGAGGAGGAGGAUGGGUGUGGUAGGCGUGUGGGUUCAGAGCUCAGCUCCCAUCCUGGACACCCGCAGGAGAGCCUCGCCCUGCCCUGUCUGAAGGCUGGACUCCCGCCUCCGGACACUUCUCCCAAGCCUGGAGGCUCUGGUGAUGCAGGGCUUGGACCAGGGCCCCGAGGCCUCUGCCUGAGCCCCGGCUCUGCCCAGAGCCCCCAUUUCCUCCCCCAAGGCAGGUGUCCUGUGGAAUUUCUGUCCACACCUGGGAACGGCGGAUGGGUCUCCGGUUCCUGGAGCCGGGUCCCUCCUGGGUUUGGCCAAGCAGAGGCCUGGGCCACAGGGGCCCCUAGUCCCCACCUCUGCUGCCCUCCCGGCACUGAAUUCUGCAAGCAGGCCUCCUGUCUGGGCCCCAGCCCCAGCCCUGCCUUGCAGGCCUCGCGAGGCCCCUGA
ensembl:lncRNA